GACGAACGCUGGCGGCGUGCCUAAUACAUGCAAGUAGAACGCUGAAGAGAGGAGCUUGCUCUUCUUGGAUGAGUUGCGAACGGGUGAGUAACGCGUAGGUAACCUGCCUUGUAGCGGGGGAUAACUAUUGGAAACGAUGGCUAAUACCGCAUAACAAUGGAUGACACAUGUCAUUUAUUUGAAAGGGGCAAUUGCUCCACUACAAGAUGGACCUGCGUUGUAUUAGCUAGUAGGUGAGGUAACGGCUCACCUAGGCGACGAUACAUAGCCGACCUGAGAGGGUGAUCGGCCACACUGGGACUAAGACACGGCCCAGACUCCUACGGGAGGCAGCAGUAGGGAAUCUUCGGCAAUGGGGGCAACCCUGACCGAGCAACGCCGCGUGAGUGAAGAAGGUUUUCGGAUCGUAAAGCUCUGUUGUAAGUCAAGAACGAGUGUGAGAGUGGAAAGUUCACACUGUGACGGUAGCUACCAGAAA
rnacentral:rRNA from 1 species